UACAUGUGGGGCAAGCGUUGUUCGGAAUUACUGGGCAUAAAGGGUGCGUAGGCGGCGGUAUAAGUCAGCGGUGAAAUCCUUCGGCCCAACCGGAGAACUGCCGUUGAUACUGUGCUGCUUGAGUGCGUGAGGGGUGGCUGGAACGAGUGGUGUAGCGGUGAAAUGCGUAGAUAUCACUCGGAACACCUAAGGCGAAGGCAGGCCACUGGCACGCAACUGACGCUGAGGCACGAAAGCGUGGGGAGCAAACAGG
rnacentral:rRNA from 1 species